GGUUUAAUUCCUUUUUCAGUUAGUAAACUAAUUAUAACAAGCAUUAAGAUAACAAGUUUUAAAACAUCAUAAAACAACCUUUUAUUAUUGGUAACUGAACUACUGAAUUCUCCUCCCGUGACCAAAAAUAUAAAAACAUAUGUGAAGUAGAAUGUGAGAACACUUGGGGGAGUAUAUAUUUGGAACGAUGGAACAACUCGAUGAAAACAAAUCGUGGAAGUUCAAAUAUUAAUCAUCAGAAACGUGAUCCAUUUAAGUGCAUAUAUUUAUAAUUGUAGACUCCUCCACUCCUUUAUACUAUACUCAUGUGUACUUAUAUU